rnacentral:rRNA from 1 species
ACUCCUACGGGAGGCAGCAGUAAGGAAUAUUGCGCAAUGGGCGAAAGCCUGACGCAGCGACGCCGCGUGGGGGAUGAAGGUCUUCGGAUUGUAAACCCCUUUCGGGAGGGAAGAUGGAACGAGCAAUCGUUCGGACGGUACCUCCAGAAGCAGCCACGGCCAACUUCGUGCCAGCAGCCGCGGUAAU